rnacentral:rRNA from 1 species
GAUGAACGCUGGCGGCGUGCCUAACACAUGCAAGUCGAGCGAUUCUCUUCGGAGAAGAGCGGCGGACGGGUGAGUAACGCGUGGGUAACCUGCCCUGUACACACGGAUAACAUACCGAAAGGUAUGCUAAUACGGGAUAACAUAUUUUAGUCGCAUGGCUGAAAUAUCAAAGCUCCGGCGGUACAGGAUGGACCCGCGUCUGAUUAGCUAGUUGGUAAGGUAAUGGCUUACCAAGGCGACGAUCAGUAGCCGACCUGAGAGGGUGAUCGGCCACAUUGGAACUGAGACACGGUCCAAACUCCUACGGGAGGCAGCAGUGGGGAAUAUUGCACAAUGGGCGAAAGCCUGAUGCAGCAACGCCGCGUGAGCGAUGAAGGCCUUCGGGUCGUAAAGCUCUGUCCUCAAGGAAGAUAAUGACGGUACUUGAGGAGGAAGCCCCGGCUAACUACGUGCCAGCCGCCGCGGUAA